AGUGAACGCUGGCGGUAGGCCUAACACAUGCAAGUCGAACGGCAGCACAUGUAUAGCUUGCUCUUACGGGUGGCGAGUGGUGGACGGGUGAGGAAUACAUCGGAAUCUAUUUGUGCGUGGGUGAUUACGUAGGGAAACUUACGCUAAUACCGCAUAUGUCCUGCGGGUGAAAGCAGGGGAUCUUCGGUCCGUUUGUUCGUGAAUGAGUCGAUGUCGGAUUAGCUAGUUGGCGGGGUAAAGGCCCACCAAGGCGACGAUCCGUAGCUGGUCUGAGAGGAUGAUCAGCCACACUGGAACUGAGACACGGUCCAGACUCCUACGGGAGCACGCAGUGGGCACACUUGGACAAUGGGCGCAAGCCUGAUCCAGCCAUACCGCGUGGGAGAAGAAGGAAUUCGGGUUGUAAAGCCCUUUUGUUGGGAAAGACAAAAAACAGGUUAAUACCCCGCUGUUCUGACGGUACCCAAAGAAUAAGCACCGGCUAACUUCGUG
rnacentral:rRNA from 1 species